rnacentral:lncRNA from 1 species
UUUCAGAAUACGGGCCUAGGGUGGCGUUGCAGAGGGCAGUUUUGCAGUCUUCGAACGCUUGAGUCAAAAGUGGUGUCCAAGUGACAGGGUGGUUGCCUCGUAGGCCAGCCAACGCGUCAUGAAGAGGUGCCUGAUAUGCGGCCGCUUUAGGCACGAAGCGCCUGUAAAAGUUGAGCAUGCCCAGGAAACGGUGGAGGUCU